rfam:Populus trichocarpa isolate Nisqually-1 chromosome 7, whole genome shotgun sequence.
GUUGCUGUGAUGAGGUUAAGCACUAAAUGUGUUGAAGAGCAGUGGACAAGUACUUGAUCAAGUACUUGCCGUGAGCUCUCAUUUACAAACGACUUCUCCUUCCACUGAGCCUC